UCUCCCGUGAGGGAGCAGUCUCGCCUGACACUUAUAACAGGCAACGAGGGUUGCGUUCGUUUCCCCACUUAAGGGAACAGCUCAAGCCACGAACUGACGACGGCCAUGCAUCACCUGCCAUACACCCUCGAAGGCUUCUCUGGUUUCCCAGAGCGUGCAGUAUGGUUUCUAGCCUCGGUAAGGUUUUUCGCUUAUCGACGAAUUAAGCCACAUGAUCCACCGCUUGUGCGAGCCCCCGUCUAUUCCUUUGAGUUUUAAUCUUGCGAUCGUACUACCCAGGCGGUCUGUUUAACGCGUUAGCUUCGUCUCUAAGAGGGUCGAUACUCCUAAAAACCAACAGACAGCGUUUAGGGCGUGGACUAC
rnacentral:misc_RNA from 1 species